UACGUAGGGUGCGAGCGUUAAUCGGAAUUACUGGGCGUAAAGGGUGCGCAGGCGGUUCUGCAAGUCAGGCGUGAAAUCCCCGGGCUUAACCUGGGAAUGGCGCUUGAAACUACGGGACUGGAGUAUGGCAGAGGGAGGUGGAAUUCCACGUGUAGCGGUGAAAUGCGCAGAUAUCGGGAGGAACACCAAUGGCGAAGGCAGCUCGCUGGGACGGUACUGACGCUGAGACGCGAAAGCGUGGGGAGCAAACAGG
rnacentral:rRNA from 1 species